CCUACGGGAGGCAGCAGUGGGGAAUCUUGCACAAUGGAGGAAACUCUGAUGCAGCGAUGCCGCGUGAGUGAAGAAGGCCUUUGGGUUGUAAAGCUCUUUUGUAGGGGAAGAUAAUGACUGUACCCUAAGAAUAAGGUCCGGCUAACUUCGUGCCAGCAGCCGCGGUAAUACGAAGGGACCUAGCGUAGUUCGGAAUUACUGGGCGUAAAGCGCGCGUAGGCCGUUGAGUUAGUUAAUUGUGAAAUCCCAAAGCUUAACUUUGGAACUGCAAUUAGAACUGCUCGACUAGAGUUUGAUAGAGGAAAGCGGAAUACAUAGUGUAGAGGUGAAAUUCGUAGAUAUUAUGUAGAACACCAGUUGCGAAGGCGGCUUUCUGGAUCAACACUGACGCUGAGGCGCGAAAGUAUGGGUAGCAAAGAGGAUUAGAUACCCCCGUAGUCCAUACCAUAAACGAUGAUUGCUAGAUGUUGGAAAUUUAUUUUCAGUAUCGCAGCUAACGCAUUAAGCAAUCCGCCUGGGGAGUACGACCGCAAGGUUAAAACUCAAAAGUAUAUACGGCGNGAGAGUCGCGACGAGACCACACGGAGGUAGG
rnacentral:rRNA from 1 species